GUGCGUAAUAAGAUCUCUUCUGUUAAUGUGGAAAAAAAUUUGAGAUGUGAUUUUUUUUUUUUUAGUUCAGGUCGUCAUCACUCACGUAAUUCUUUUGAACUAUGAAAAUUAUUACGUGGCGAGACACAAAAUAAUAAUAAAAACAACCAGUGAGUCCAGAAGAGUAAUGAGUGAGUCAAUGCAAACCAUGAGUAAUAUUAGAAAAAAAAGAAUAAUUGCUUCGUUUACGUCAAUACGGGUAAUUAUCAUGUUUUUUUUAUUUACGAGAUGCUGAGUGAGUGACCCUUUCAAGACCUUAUAAGUCAUCUCGACAAGCCUUGAAUCGUAUGUCAAAUAAAUGAGUUAAAAUGAAAAUGGCUUAAUACUGUUUAUACUCGUUAAAGUCAAGUAUGUUAAUGAUUUUUUUAGGUAAAGUUGAAGGAAUAGAUUAUUUUUUAUAUUGAAAAUCGCAUGUAUGUUAAAUUUUUUUUUAGGUAAUGUUGAAGGAAUAGAUUUUUUUAAAUUGAAAAUCGCCUUAGUUUAAAAUAUCAUAGAAUUAAAAGGACAAGUUUUACGUCUAAAUCGAUUUUCUAAGUUAAAAUUCAUUACUAUACUUUAUUUUUUUAUUACCAUACUUACUUUUACUUAAUCUAUUUAAUUUUGCUUUAUUACUUUAUUGAUGUAUCGUAAACUUAAAUAUAUAUUACUAAUGAUGACACUAAUUGUCUUAAAAGUUGUAAUUCAAAAUACCGGCUGAUUUUUCACAUGAGGUAGACUUUGAGAUGCGUAGACACAGUGCUUAAACAAUAUAUCAAGUUACUUCAGUUUUAUCGGCAGUAGCGGCCUUGCGUAGUAUACUUUUCUCCGCACAAACAUUGAUUAUUUAGCGCAAGAAACAUGUGGUACGUCAUAACCAGUUUUAAACAUUGCAUAUUUAUCAGGUCAAAUAAAUAUGUCUUAUCAGCAGUAGUGGCCUUGCGUAGUACUUUCCCUGCACCAACAUUGAUUAGUAUUUAGCGUCAUAACCAGUUUUAAACAUUGCAUAAUUAUCAGGUCAAAUAAAUAUGUCUUAUCGGCAGUAGCGGCCUUGCGUAGUAUACUUUUCUCCGCACAAACAUUGAUUAUUUAGCGCAAGAAACAUGUGGUACGUCAUAACCAGCUUUAAACAUUGCAUAUUUAUCAGGUCAAAUAAAUCUAAUGCACAAGUGUGUUUGUUUCCGAGUCAGUGUCAGUCAUGUGAAGGCCACGUUGAGGGCGCUAACCGCAUGAUGAGAGAGACUCGGAGGACACGAGGAUACAAGCUAUUCUGGUGAGGACGAGAGGGAGCGCAACGGCACCUCUCUCGUAACAAAACAGUGAACUCUCUCGGUAUCCAUUUCAGUUUUUACAUCAGAGGAUACGGCUCAAGGGCAAUAAUAAUAAUAAUAAUAAUAAUAAAAAAAAAACACUACUUGCCACUCCUAUAAAAGAUAAAAGUAGAGUAGCCAAAAGAGAGGUCAAUUUUGGGUGGAAUUUUGCUUUCUAUUUUACGGAAGCUAUGUAAUGUAGGUUUUGCGUUCCUAGACUUUUGCCUUAUUUGCGGUAUAAAGAGAAAUGCUUAUAUAUGGUCUUCCACAAGGAGAGAAUGAUGACCCUUAGAACUGAAUGUAUUUGAAGAUGUGUUUUAAUAUGAGCGGAAUUUAGCAGGGAUUUUAAUUAUACAUUUUUAACCCUGAUUCCUUUAAAAUAAUGUUUUUUUUUUCAUCAUUAUCAGAAGUGAAUAUAUUUGAAGCAUAUGUGGUUUUUAUAUGAGCGAAAUUUAUCAGGCAUUUUUUGUAUAUAAUUUUAAUCCUGAUACCUUUACAAAUAUGAGUCUUUUUUUCAUCACCAUCAGAAAUGAGUGUAUUAGAAGCAUGUGUUGUUUUGUAUGAACGAAACUUAUCAGGCACUCAUUGUAUAUAAUUUUAAUCCUGAUACCUUUACAAAAUACGAGUUUUUUAAUCACCACCAGAAUAGCUCAGCACAUAGAGUAUAAUAUUAAAGAGUAAAACAUUAAAAGGGAACAGGAACACCAUGUCAUCAUAGAGACCGGCAUUCAAGGAGAGAAAAAAACCAACCUUCGGAAAUUAAAAGUAAACAAACAGCUCAUUCGAAAUCAUAUGAUAAUCGCGUUAGAUAAAAUAAUAAUAAUAAUAAUAAUAAUAGUAAUGGUAGGAACAGUAGAGGUGGUAAAUGAAAAUGUGUGUCUUUCCCAAACCAAAGACUGAGGGAAGAUUCAAAAUUAUCACCUGGGAUAAUUUUGAGAUGUUCCCGGAAGAAUAUCAAAAUGACACGCGCUCGGCAGAUACGGAAAUAUGCAAUCAGAUAAAAUUUAAUAAAGGAAGAAAAGAGAAAGAAGAAGGGGAUAUGAAGAUGAUGUAAGGAAAAUGAUGAAGGAGAAGGAGGAGGAGAUAUGGAAGAAUAGUGAGGAGUAGAAAAAGGAGAUGAAGGAGUAGAAGAAGAGGAGGAGUAGGAGAAAAAAUGCAAUAAGAUGAAAUGAAAUAAAGAAAGAAAAGAGAAAGAAGGAGAAAAUGAAGAUGAUGUACAGAAAAUGAAGAAGGAAAAGGAAGAGGAGAUUUGGAUGAACAAUGAGGAGUAGAAAAAGUAGAUGAAGAAGUAGAAGGAGAAGAGGAAAAAGAAGGAGGAGGAGGAGAUGGAGAGAAAAAGAAAAAGAGUAUAUAGAAAACGGAGAUAUGGAAGACUCAGUGUAAGAAAAAACGUUGAAAUUGAAAGAUAAACUAAAGCAAAACAACACCAUUAUACAAUUCACUUCAGAUUAUCAAUGACAUAACUUAUAAUUUCUCAAGAUGAAUUACGAACUUAAAAAAUGAUCUGCCGAGUGGGUGACAUUUCUGCGGGUCACGAAGGGAGAGAAAUAAAUGAAAAUAAAAUCACCACACGGUUCUACUUACUCUUGGGGGUGACUAGAGGCGGUGUGUGCGUGUAUAUGUGUGUGUGUGUGUGUGUGUGUGUGUGUGUGUGUGUGUGUGUGAUUGGGCUCUACUGACGACUAACAUUUUUCUACAUUCCAGUGUAAUUUUACUUUCGACUAACUCUUCAAACCUACUAACACAUUAUCAUUAACUAAAACACUAAAUAACAGUCUAAUAUAAUCAUUUUUUCAACAUCUUUCUAUAUUUCAAUCUAACUUCUGCUUUCUAUCAUAUAUUCAAACAACCUUCUAAUACAUAAUCACUAGGAAAGUUUUGUUUAGUCGGCGCAACAUCUGUGGUCAUAUGCCGGAGAGAGACAGAAGGGGAAACAUUCACUAACUCACUAAAGACUUAACUAACAUAUGGUCAACAUCUCUUCUCUCAAUGUCAGGUUAACGCACUCGUACAAAAUCGACAAUGUGGGGUGACAACUUAACACUAGAUACAAACUAAGCGCCAUUAUAAAAAAAAUAUGACCUGCAAAGUAUCUAAAUAAAUUCAAGUAUAGGUCAAUGCAAUAUCUAGUAAGAAUUUAAUUAUCUCUAUAUAUAUAACACAAUAUCUAAGGUACUUACACUAGGGAUACAAACUAAGCACUAUUAUAAAAAAAUAUUACCUGCAAACUACCCCAAAAUCUAUCAUUCAGGUAUAGGUCAAUGCAAUAUCUAGUAGGAAUUAAAUGAUCUCUAUAUAUAUAACACAAUAUCUAAGGUACUUACACUAGGGAUACAAACUAAGCGCUAUUAUAAAAAAAAUAUUACCUGCAAACUACCCCAAAAUCUAUCAUUCACGUAUAGGUCAAUGGAAUAUCUAGUAGGAAUUAAAUGAUCUCUAUAUAUAUAACACAAUAUCUAAGGUACUUACACUAGGGAUACAAACUAAGCGCUAUUAUAAAAAAAAUAUUACCUGCAAACUACCCCAAAAUCUAUCAUUCACGUAUAGGUCAAUGCAAUAUCUAGUAAGAAUUUAAUUAUCUCUAUAUAUAUAACACAAUAUCUAAGGUACUUACACUAGGGAUACAAACUAAGCACUAUUAUAAAAAAAAUAUUACCUGCAAACUACCCCAAAAUCUAUCAUUCACGUAUAGGUCAAUGGAAUAUCUAGUAGGAAUUAAAUGAUCUCUAUAUAUAAACACAAUAUCUAAGGUGCUUUAAAACAAUGUAUAUUUCAACUAGGCGCUAUAAUGAUUACUAUAGAAACAGGUCAUCACUAAGAUACUAUAUAUAAUUUUAAUACUAUUGCAAUACUAUGGGAAUCUUAUCUCUAAAAGGGGAGAAAUUUACGAUUAUAUUUCAUGUGGAUCCUGGAAAUGUGUUGUAAAAAUAGAUAAAUAAAUAAAUAAGAUUGAUUUUCAUGUAUUAGAGCAUUUAAGGAUAUCGUAAGGGAUAGAUGCAGUUUCCCAUUUUCUUUUUUCCUUCUCAGUUUCCCGUUUUCUUUUUUCAUUCUCGAUUUCCCAUUUUCUUAUUUCAUUUUCCAUUUUCUUUUAUCCUUCAGUUUCCCAUUUUCGUUCUCUUUUUCAAUUUCUCAUUUUCUUUUUUCCUUCUCAAUUUCCCAUCUUCUUUUUUCCUUCUCCAUUUCCUACUUUUCUUUUUUCCUUCUUCAUUUCCUGCCUUUCUUUUUUUCCUUCUUGAUUUUUUGCUACGUAUAGAUUUGGUGAGUUUAUAGAUGCCAGAAACUUCAUUAUUAUUAUUUCCUUUCCUUCAUCUUCUUCGUGGAAUGGAAUCAAUUAGGACCUUCAUAUUUUCAUUCAUCUAUUGCAUUUUUUAUCAUUUUCAUGGGUAGUCAUUUUUGUUCUUUUCCUUUUCUUCCCUCAGUUGACUAAUUUUCAUCUUCUCUUUCAACGCAUUUCAUUUUUUUCUUUUCCUCUCCCUGACAUCAAAUUCUUCUCUCUCUCUCUCUCUCUCUCUCUCUCUCUCUCUCUCUCUCUCUCUCUCUCUCUCUCUCUCUCUCUCUCUCUCUCUGUAUCCCACCGCUGCCACCAGUGUAACAAUCUCUCUCUCUCUCUCUCUCUCUCUCUCUCUCUCUCUCUCUCUCUCUCUCUCUCUCUCUCGUAGCCUGUUACAAAAUUAGCAAAGUAGAGGUGAGGGUAGCCAGCUGUCCCCCCCUUUCCCUCCCUCCCUUCCUUCCUUCCGGUCCCGAUAACUCUCUCUCUCUCUCUCUCUCUCUCUCUCUCUCUCUCUCUCUCUCUCUCUCUCUCUCUCUCUC